rnacentral:tRNA from 1 species
GGGGUUAUAGCUCAGCUGGGAGAGCGCUUCCAUGGCAUGGAAGAGGUCGUCGGUUCGAUUCCGUCUAACUCCACCA